UACGUAGGGUGCAAGCGUUGUCCGGAAUUAUUGGGCGUAAAGAGCUUGUAGGCGGUUUGUCGCGUCUGCUGUGAAAUUUCGGGGCUCAACCCCGAACUUGCAGUGGGUACGGGCAGACUAGAGUGUGGUAGGGGAGACUGGAAGUUCCUGGUGUAGCGGUGAAAUGCGUAGAUAUCUGGAGGAACACCGGUGGCGAAGGCGGCAUCCUGGGACCACAACUGACGCUGAGGCGCGAAAGCUAGGGGAGCAAACAGG
rnacentral:rRNA from 1 species